CAGUAGCCGCGGGAAUACGUAGGGUGCAAGCGUUGUCCGGAAUUAUUGGGCGUAAAGAGCUCGUAGGCGGCUAGUCACGUCGGCUGUGAAAACCUGAGGCUCAACCUCGGGCUUGCAGCCGAUACGGGCUAGCUAGAAUUCGGUAGGGGAGACUGGAAUUCCUGGUGUAGCGGUGAAAUGCGCAGAUAUCAGGAGGAACACCGGUGGCGAAGGCGGGUCUCUGGGCCGAUAUUGACGCUGAGGAGCGAAAGCGUGGGGAGCGAACAGGAUUAGAUACCCCUGUAGUCCCUGUCUCUUAUAC
rnacentral:rRNA from 1 species